GGGAACAGGGAGACUGUCUUCCACAGCCCCAGGAACCCUGGCAGGGAUACAGCAGGCCCCCCACCCCCUGCGCUGACAUGGCCCACUUCCCCUGGCCUGAGCAUCGCAUACUGAGGGCGAGUCUUUUUCCCCUGGGACAGCACCUCACAGCUGCAGGGACACCAGCCUGCCGACAGCUUGCCGGACGCCCCGCGACUGUGCACAUGGAAGGGUGCAGGGCACCUGCACCAGAGAGAGAGAGAGAAAUAAGAAAGCGAGCUGCCAGGUCCGGACGUGAGCAUGUUCGGACAUGGGAAGGUCCAGUGCGCCGACCACCACACCACCUGCUGGCCCUACAACAUUGAGACCUUCCUGCACGCCAGUCACCUCGAGGCACUCUUCACACAUUAUUCUUUAGUUGCCACAGUCGGCCACUAGGGGGAGAAGCACUAUUGGUAUCCCUGUUCAGAAAGGAAUAAGCUGAGUAACCUGCACAUGGUGGACUUCAACAACUUAGCUUCCUUCUCUGUAC